AUACGUAGGGUGCGAGCGCUGUCCGGAAUUACUGGGCGUAAAGAGCUCGUAGGUGGUUUGUCGCGUCGUCUGUGAAAUUCCGGGGCUUAACUCCGGGCGUGCAGGCGAUACGGGCAUAACUUGAGUACUGUAGGGGAGACUGGAAUUCCUGGUGUAGCGGUGAAAUGCGCAGAUAUCAGGAGGAACACCGGUGGCGAAGGCGGGUCUCUGGGCAGUAACUGACGCUGAGGAGCGAAAGCAUGGGUAGCGAACAGGAUUAGAUACCCUGGUAGUCCAUGCCGUAAACGGUGGGCGCUAGGUGUAGGGGUCUUCCACGACUUCUGUGCCGUAGCUAACGCAUUAAGCGCCCCGCCUGGGGAGUACGGCCGCAGGGCUAAAACUCAAAGGAAUUGACGGGG
rnacentral:rRNA from 1 species